CAAUAAAGUUUGUUGAUCUAUGCCUAUUGACAAUGGGAACUAGCAGCAUCGUGGCAGUAGACCGGGCUUGUACCCGGAAACUUCAAGCGAAUCGCGCCAGUACCCUCCUGGAUUUCCAGGUCAUAAACUGAGGUAAAACGGCCUGGCGGCGGGCUA
rnacentral:other from 1 species